rnacentral:rRNA from 1 species
CUCGACUCUCUGAAAAACAUAUCACGGCUCUCGCAUCGAUGAAGAACGCA